rnacentral:rRNA from 1 species
CUAUCAGUUUGUUGGUGAGGUGAUGGCUCACCAAGACGAUGACGGGUAGCCGGCCUGAGAGGGCGACCGGCCACACUGGGACUGAGACACGGCCCAGACUCCUACGGGAGGCAGCAGUGGGGAAUAUUGCACAAUGGGCGAAAGCCUGAUGCAGCGACGCCGCGUGGGGGAUGACGGCCUUCGGGUUGUAAACCCCUUUCAGUAGGGAAGAAGCGAGAGUGACGGUACCUGCAGAAGAAGCGCCGGCUAACUACGUGCCAGCAGCCGCGGUAAUACGUAGGGCGCAAGCGUUGUCCGGAAUUAUUGGGCGUAAAGAGCUUGUAGGUGGCUUGUCGCGUCUGCCGUGAAAACCCGAGGCUCAACCUCGGGCGUGCGGUGGGUACGGGCAGGCUAGAGUGUGGUAGGGGAGACUGGAACUCCUGGUGUAGCGGUGAAAUGCGCAGAUAUCAGGAAGAACACCGAUGGCGAAGGCAGGUCUCUGGGCCAUUACUGACACUGAGAAGCGAAAGCAUGGG